ACAUCGGUAGUUCAGUGGUAAAAUGCUCGCCUGCCACGCGGGCCGGUUCGAUUCCCGGCCGAAGCA